UACUAGCCUACGACGGGUACGGGUUGUGAGAGCAAGAGCCCGGAGAUGGAUUCUGAGACACGAAUCCAGGCCCUACGGGGUGCAGCAGGCGCGAAAACUUUACAAUGCGGGAAACCGUGAUAAGGGAAUCUCGAGUGCCAGCAUAUAAUGUUGGCUGUCCAGAUGCCUAAAAAGCAUCUGUUAGCAAGGGCCGGGCAAGACCGGUGCCAGCCGCCGCGGUAACACCGGCGGCCCGAGUGGUAACCGCUUUUAUUGGGUCUAAAGGGUCUGUAGCCGGCCAAGUAAGUCCCUUGGGAAAUCUGGCAGCUUAACUGUCAGGCUGCUAGGGGAUACUGCUAGGCUUGGGACCGGGAGAGGUGAGAGGUACCUUGGGGGUAGGGGUGAAAUCUUGUGAUCCUCGGGGGACCACCAGUGGCGAAGGCGUCUCACCAGAACGGGUCCGACGGUAAGGGACGAAAGCUAGGGGCACGAACCGGAUUAGAUACCCGGGUAGUCCUAGCCGUAAACGAUGCUCGCUAGGUGUCAGUCACGGUGCGACCGUGAUUGGUGCCGUAGGGAAGCCGUGAAGCGAGC
rnacentral:rRNA from 1 species